AGGGGGAGGAGGAGCCUCCUGAGGGCCAGGGAUGGAGCCCCAGCCACUGACUAAAUCUGACUGUGACCCGAAGCUCUGGAGGAGAACUUUUAGGCCCCACCCCUCCCCCUGCCUCUAAGCCCCCUCCUCUCUCUCUCCCCGCAGGACUCACUAACACCUCAGGGGAACACAAGAAAACCACCUGUUUCUCCUGCCCAGACUCUGGGCCCUGUCAAAGCUUCCUCUGCCCUGCCGGGAAGGACACCUGCCUCAGCAUGGUGGAGGUCCAAGGUGACUUUUGGGGGAAGGACAAGCCUGCCUUCAGAAGGAAGGGCUCCUGUGUGGCGCCGGGGGACUGCCGACCCGGGGUUUACAGCCUGUCUUUCCGCCC
rnacentral:lncRNA from 1 species